AAAACGGUUCUUUUCAGAACCAUCCCCCAGGGUUCAUCAAAAGAGC
rfam:Chelonia mydas contig267019, whole genome shotgun sequence.